rnacentral:rRNA from 1 species
UACGGGGGGGUAAGCGUUGUUCGGAAUUACUGGGCGUAAAGGGCUACGUAGGCGGCCAACUAAGUCAGACGUGAAAUCCCUCAGCUUAACUGGGGAACUGCGUCUGAUAACUGGAUGGCUUGGAUUCGGGAGAGGAAUGCGGAAUUCCUGGUGUAGCGGUGGAAUGCGCAGAUAUCAGGAGGAACACCGGUGGCGAAGGCGGGUCUCUGGGCAGUAACUGACGCUGAGGAGCGAAAGCGUGGGGAGCGAACAGG